GAUGAACGCUAGCGGCAGGCCUAAUACAUGCAAGUCGAACGGUUGUAGCGAUACAAUAGUGGCGCACGGGUGCGUAACACGUAUGCAACCUACCUUAUAGACGGGGAUAGCCUUUGGAAACGGAGAUUAAUACCCGAUAGCAAUAUUGACUGGCAUCAGUUUAUAUUUAAAGAUUUAUCGCUAUAAGCUGGGCAUGCGUCCAAUUAGUUAGUUGGUUAGGUAAUGGCUGACCAAGACGAUGAUUGGUAGGGGAACUGAGAGGUUAAUCCCCCACACUGGCACUGAGAUACGGGCCAGACUCCUACGGGAGGCAGCAGUAGGGAAUAUUGGGCAAUGGAGGCAACUCUGACCCAGCCAUGCCGCGUGCAGGAUGAAGGCGUUAUGCGUUGUAAACUGCUUUUAUAUAGGAAGAAAUAGACCUUGCGAGGUAAGUUGACGGUACUAUAUGAAUAAGCACCGGCUAACUCCGUGCCAGCAGCCGCGGUAAUACGGAGGGUGCAAGCGUUGUCCGGAUUUAUUGGGUUUAAAGGGUGCGUAGGCGGUUUAUUAAGUCAGUGGUGAAAGACGGUCGCUCAACGAUUGCAGUGCCAUUGAUACUGGUAGACUUGAGUGAGAUUGAGGUAGCUGGAAUGGAUAGUGUAGCGGUGAAAUGCAUAGAUAUUAUCCAGAACACCAAUUGCGUAGGCAAGUUACUAAGUCUCAACUGACGCUGAGGCACGAAAGUGUGGGUAUCAAACAGGAUUAGAUACCCUGGUAGUCCACACUGUAAACGAUGAUAACUAACUGUUGGCUUUCGGGUCAGUGGUACAGAGAAAUCGUUAAGUUAUCCACCUGGGGAGUACGCCGGCACCGGUG
rnacentral:rRNA from 1 species